rnacentral:rRNA from 1 species
UACAGAGGGUGCGAGCGUUAAUCGGAAUUACUGGGCGUAAAGCGUGCGUAGACGGUUAUUUAAGUCGGAUGUGAAAGCCCCGGGCUCAACCUGGGAAUUGCAUUCGAGACUGAAUAGCUAGGGUGCGGUAGAGGGAAGCGGAAUUUCCGGUGUAGCGGUGAAAUGCGUAGAUAUCGGAAGGAACAUCAGUGGCGAAAGCGGCUUCCUGGACCAGCACCGACGUUCAGGCACGAAA